rnacentral:rRNA from 1 species
UACGGAGGGUGCAAGCGUUAUCCGGAUUCACUGGGUUUAAAGGGUGCGUAGGCGGGUUGGUAAGUCAGUGGUGAAAUCUCCGUGCUUAACAUGGAAACUGCCAUUGAUACUACUGAUCUUGAAUUUUCUGGAGGUAAGCGGAAUAUGUCAUGUAGCGGUGAAAUGCUUAGAUAUGACAUAGAACACCAAUGGCGAAGGCAGCUUACUGCAGCGAUAUUGACACUGAGGCACGAAAGCGUGGGGAUCAAACAGG